GCUAAAGGUUUAGCAAUUUUGUUUAUCUUUUCAAAGAAUCAGCUUUUAGUUUCAUUGAUCUUUUUGUUUUAUUAGUCUAUUUAUUUCUUCCGUGACCUUUAUGAUUUCUUUCCUUCUACCUAUUUUGUAUUUUGUUUGUUCUUUAGUUGCUUUAGGUGUAAGGUUAGGUUGUUUAUUUGAGAUUUUUCUUGUUUCCUGAGGUGAGCUUGUAUCACCAUAAACUUCCCUGUUAGAACUGCUUUUGCUGCAUCCCAUAAGUUUUGGAUCCUUGUGUUUUAGGUUUCAUUUGUCUCUAGGUGUUUUUUGAUUUCCUCAGUGAUCCAUUGGUUGUUUAGAAGCAUAUUGUUUAGCCUCCGCAUGUUUGUUUCCCGCCUAGAGAAGUUGCUUUAGCAUUUGUUGUAAAGCUGGUUUGGUGGUGCCAGUUCUUAAGCUGUUGCUUUCUCUGUCAAAUCUAAAUGAGAGCCUUGCUGGGUAGAGUAAUCUUGGUUUUAGGUUUUUCCCUUUCAUCACUUUAUAUUGUGCCACUCCCUUUUGGCCUGCAGAGUUUCUGCUGAAAAAUCAGCUGAUAACCUUAUGAGAAUUUCCUUGUUGCUUUUAAUAUUUUCUCUUAAUCUUUAAUUUUUGUCAUUUUUAUUACUGUGUGUCCCGGCAUGUUCCUCCUUCUUCUUCUGGGACCCCUAUAAUGUGAAUGUUGGUGCAUUUGAUGUUGUCCCAGAGGUCUCUUCGGCUGUCCUCAUUUCUUUUCAUUCUUUAUUCUGUUACACAGCAGUGAUCCCCACCAUUCUGUCUUCCAGGUCACUUAUCCAUUCUUCUGCCUCAUUUAUUCUGCUAUUGAUUCCUCCUAGUGUAUUUUUCAUUUCAGUUAUUGUAUUCUCAACUCUGGUUGUUCUAUUUUCUCUGUCUUAAAACUUCUUGUAGCUCCUUGCUCUGCGUGCAUUCUUUUCCCAAGUUCUUUGCCUCGGUUCGCAGGCUGCAAGAUUGUCGUUUUCUUGCUUCUGGUGUCUGCCCCCAGUGAGUGAGGCUGGUCUAGAGGCUUGUGCAGGCUUCCUGGUGGGAGGGGCCAGUGUCAGCCCUCUGGGUGGGGCAGGGCUGUAACAGGGGGCACGUUGAGAGGUGUCUGUGGGCUCAGGGGGUUUUUAGGCAGCCUGUCUGCUGAUGGGUGGGGCUGUGUUCCCUCUGUGUUGGUUGGUUGGUUGGUUGGCCUGAGGCCUCCCAGCACCGGCGCCUGUAGGCUGUUGGGUGGGCCCAGGUGUUGGUGCUAAUUACCCAAGCAAGAGGGCUGCCCAGGUAGGUCUGGCCCAGGCUUCUACGAAGUCACUGCUUUCGUCCUGGGUCCUGGUGCUCUGCACCCUGCACCCUCCAAGAGUGGAGUCUCUGUUUCCCUCACUCCUGUGGGGCUCCUGCAGUCAAACCCCGCUGGCUUUCGAAGCCAAAUGCUCUAGGGGCUCCUCCACCGCUGCCAGACCCCCAGGCUGGGGAGCCUGAUGUGGGGCUCCGAACUCUCACUCUUCUAGGAGGAAGUCUGUGAUAAAAUUAUUCUCCAGUCUCUGGGUCACCCCCCAGGUGGUGUGGGAAUUGAUUGUGUCACCGUUGCACCCCCUCCUACCAUCUCGUUGUGCUUCCUUCUUUGUCUUUGGAUGUAGGAGAUCUUUUUUGGUAGGUUCCAGUCUUUUUUUAAUCAAUGUUUGUUCAACAGUUAUUUGUGAUUUUGGUGUGCUCGUGAGAGGAGGUGAGCUCAAGGUCCUUUCUACUCUGCCAUCUUGUCUCUAGUCUGAAUGGCUUUCUCCUGCUGGUAAGCCAUCAGAAUGAAGUGACCAAGUUUAGCAGGGCCUUGAUCUCUGAUAUCUCCCAGUCUGUUUCUGUUCCAACCGAAAUAGCAUUUUCAGUUGUAGGUACCAACAUAUUUAACAUCACCUAAGGAAUAGUUACUCUUCAGUUUCUGUUGUGGAAUGUACUUAAUUAUCUUUUUUCUGGGCUUCCAGUGCGAAUGUCUGUGUAAACUAUCUUUGUGACCUUGAGCAAGUGACUUAACCUCUCUGUGCCUUGGUGUCCUCACCUGGUGUUUGGCAGAGAUGCUUUGCAGCUGUACGUUGAGAGAGAAACAGCAGUCGACAGCCCCAGACCAGCUCCACCUUGACCCCAGGAAUGUGCCUGUGCACAUGAGCUGAGCAUUGAUUCUUAAAAUGAUGUGGGUGACUUUGAAAAAGCCGUCUGAAGUUUGUCCAGAUUCUGGAAUUAUUUGAUUACGUCCACAAAGUAACAGGGAAAGGUUUCCCUAUCUACGCAUUGCUGCCAUCUGAGGUAGGGAAAUCCUUGACGACCUUUUAUCGAGUCUUUUAAUGAUUUCUUAGUAGUGUUCAAAAUAGUUUGAGAGUUAAGGUCAGCUGAUAACUGAUUCGUUUCUUAGAUUCAGAUCUAAACAAACGCAGCAUGAUCCAGGGAUAUGCCUCUUGGCUCCAGUUCGCAAUAUUGUAAACUUGCCUUACGAGGAUGCAUUUGUUGUUCCUACUACGACGUAAGUUUGUUUGCACAGCCAGGCCCACCCAUUUAUGUGAUCUGGCAGAUUCCAGGCUUCCUUAGGAAGACUAGAGGUUCUUUUCAAAGCUGGAGCUGUCCAUGAGUGAGGCUCUGCUCCAUGCAAAGCCAGUGUGCUUCAGCCAGGAGAGAGGAGCUCGUGUCUCCACAAAGCCAGGAGAGAAGUCUGGAAUGCUCUUACCAUGCUGUUCUGUUUUAAACAGCCUCCUACAUUCUGUCUCUUAAAUUGUGCUUCACAUCUUCCCUGGCACUGGUGGGAGCUUCCCUGGGUAAACAGCAGUGCUUAGAUUCUGCUUCCAGGGCAGCCGCGUGCCUUCCCAAACACGGCUUCCAGCAAUGUGUGUAGCAGCCUGAGAAUUCCCAUCCACCCUGCAGAAGAGUUAACGGUGGUACCCAGGCUUCUCUCCAUCCUCGAAGAUUUACCGGGAAGGUUCGGUUACUGGAGGCUGCAAACAUUCACAGGCACGUCUGGACACCCUGCUGUAACGCUCAUGGUCUGUGUAAGGUGGGUUAUCUCUGCUACCUACUUGAGUUUAAUCCUGAGUGAUGAUACCUGAAACACUGCCUUUUUUCUAUAUAUAUUAAAAUAUUCAGCUAUUAAGAAUAAAUCAUUUUGUAUUAUCAG
rnacentral:lncRNA from 1 species